rnacentral:rRNA from 1 species
GACAAAGGAUGCAAGCGUUAUCCGGAAUGAUUGGGCGUAAAGCGUCUGUAGGUGGCUUUUAAGUCCGCCGUCAAAUCCCAGGGCUCAACCCUGGACAGGCGGUGGAAACUACCAAGCUGGAGUACGGUAGGGGCAGAGGGAAUUUCCAGUGGAGCGGUGAAAUGCGUAGAGAUUGGAAAGAACACCGAUGGCGAAGGCACUUGACUGGCUAUUACUAACACUGAGAGACGAAAGCUAGGGUAGCAAAUGGG